CGCGUAUCCAACCUGCCCAUCACUUGGGAAUAACCUUGCGAAAGUAAGACUAAUGCCCAAUGAUAUCCCACGAAGGCAUCCGAAUGGGAUUAAAGAUUUAUCGGUGAUGGAUGGGGAUGCGUCUGAUUAGCUUGUUGGCGGGGUAACGGCCCACCAAGGCAACGAUCAGUAGGGGUUCUGAGAGGAAGGUCCCCCACAUUGGAACUGAGACACGGUCCAA
rnacentral:rRNA from 1 species